UCCUGGAUCUCACUCUGGAGACC
rnacentral:piRNA from 1 species